rnacentral:rRNA from 1 species
UACGUAGGGGGCUAGCGUUAUCCGGAAUUAUUGGGCGUAAAGAGCUCGUAGGCGGUUUGUCGCGUCUGCCGUGAAAGUCCGGGGCUCAACUCCGGAUCUGCGGUGGGUACGGGCAGACUAGAGUGAUGUAGGGGAGACUGGAAUUCCUGGUGUAGCGGUGAAAUGCGCAGAUAUCAGGAGGAACACCGGUGGCGAAGGCGGGUCUCUGGGCCGUAACUGACGCUGAGGAGCGAAAGCAUGGGGAGCGAACAGG